ACCGGUGUAGCGUGAUUAUCACACGGUCGUGACCAGGCAAAUAUCUGUUAUCGGUGUAAUUACACCUUUGGAGAAAAGCGUGAUUCGCACGUUUUAAUUUCAUCAUUCGCCGCCUGAAGAGACAAGAUGGCGGAGCUUGCGAAAUCGAAAAUUGGUACUUGAAAGUCAAUGGUUGAUCAUGAUGACCAUCUUUUAUUUAAUGGAGAAAGAAACCAAUAUUUGCAGCUGGACAGGUUGUCACCACAGUUCAAGGAUUUAGGUCAGACAUCAGCUUUUGAAGUUGCUUUCUUGGCACAUCAUGCUGUCCAGUGGAGUUCAUACCAUAUGCCAGGCCUUUAUACAUGGUCAAAGAAGAUGAAUUUGUUAUUCAAUUUGUGAAAUUUGAUUUAGCGAGGACUUUCAUAUAUGAUGAUUAUAUUCAGCAGAUUAUCUUCAAGUGUGCACUUUCUAGAAUCACAGUUUCUAGGAGGUUUUCAGUUUAAAGUUAGAUUAAUUGAAAAAUAAGGGGAGCUAUCAUACUCACCAUGGUAUCGACACUGGCAUUACACCAGGUUUAAGUUUUUCUUACCAGUCCAUAUUUUAAAAGGACCUUUUGACAGUAUUGAAACUUACAA